rnacentral:rRNA from 1 species
GUGGGGAACAUUGGGCAAUGGGGGAAACCCUGACCCAGCGACGCCGCGUGAGGGAAGACGGCCUUCGGGUUGUAAACCUCUUUUGUACGGGAAGAAGGAAGUGACGGUACUGUACGAAUAAGUCCCGGCUAACUACGUGCCAGCAGCCGCGGUAAUACGUAGGGGACGAGCGUUGUCCGGAAUUACUGGGCGUAAAGGGCGCGCAGGCUGUGCUGCAAGUCAGCUGUGAAAUGUCUGGGCUUAACCCGGGCAUGCGGUUGAGACUGCAGUGCUGGAGUGCUGUAGAGGCAAGUGGAAUUCCCAGUGUAGCGGUGAAAUGCGUAGAUAUUGGGAAGAACACCGGUGGCGAAGGCGACUUGCUGGGCAGCAACUGACGCUGAGGCGCGAAAGCCAGGGGAGCAAACGGGAUUAGAAACCCGAGUAGUCC